GGUGAACGCUGGCGGCGUGCCUAACACAUGCAAGUCGAGCGAUCGGCCAGGGAGGGGUAACCCGCCCUGGUACGGAGCGGCGAACGGGUGAGUAACACGUGGGCAACCUACCCCAGGCACCGGGAUAACCCCCGGAAACGGGGGCUAAUACCGGAUACGCUCCCGGGACCGCAUGGCCCCGGGAGGAAAGCUGCGGCGGCCUGGGAUGGGCCCGCGGCCCAUCAGCUUGUUGGUGGGGUAACGGCCCACCAAGGCGACGACGGGUAGCUGGCGUGAG
rnacentral:rRNA from 1 species